rnacentral:rRNA from 1 species
AGGAUCAUUGUCGAACCUGCGAGGCAGACCGCGAACACGUGUUNAAAACCGCCGCCGGUCGCCGCGGGGGGGCGGGGGCUCGUCCCUCCCGCWCCGUCGGCCCCGGCACCCGCGCGGCGCGCCCCCGUGCGCGUCGGGCGGGCUAACGAACUCCCGGCGCGGAACGCGCCAAGGAAAACCGAAAACGAAGCGGCCCGUCCCGCCCCCACCCGCCCCGUGCGCGCGGGGGUGGGCGGGUCGCCUCGAGAUCAUAAGAUGAUGUCAAAACGACUCUCGGCAACGGAUAUCUCGGCUCUCGCAUCGAUGAAGAACGCAGCANAAUUGCAGAAUCCCGUGAACCAUCGAGUCUUUGAACGCAAGUUGCGCCCGAAGCCAUCCGGCCGAGGGCACGUCUGCCUGGGCGUCACGCAUCGCGUCGCCCCCCCUCCCUCGAUCGGGGGCGGGGGCGGACAUUGGCCUCCCGUGCGCUCCCGCGCGCGGCCGGCCCAAAUGGGAUCCCCCGGCGACGCGCGUCGCGACCAGUGGUGGUUGGUUGAACAACGCUCAGCUCCCUUGCUGUCCGUCGCGCCCCGCGCCGUCGUCCGGACGGGCAUCACGAACGACCCUGAGCGCGCCCCCCGGGCGCCUCCGACCGCGACCCCAGGUCAGGCGGGAUCACCCG